rnacentral:rRNA from 1 species
GACAGAGGUGCCAAGCGUUAGGCGGAAUCACUGGGCUUAAAGCGUGUGUAGGCGGAGUUCUAAGUACCUUGUGAAAUCCCACGGCUUAACCGCGGAACUGCUUGGUAUACUGGUUCUCUUGGGCCAUCUAGGGGCUACCGGAACAAACGGUGGAGCGGUGAAAUGCGUAGAUAUCGUUUGGAACGCCAAUGGUGAAAACAGGUAGCUGGGGAUGUGCCGACGCUGAGACACGAAAGCCAGGGGAGCGAACGGG